UACAGCAAAUCAAAGAGAUUUACUCAUUGUAUGUAGAUAAUAUAUCAGAAUCUGAAAUGGAAGGCUGUACCUGUCUUUAUGGCACCAAAACGACAAUGUGAUUUUUUAACCAUGCUCAACACAAGCUGGCAUUUUAACUGAGCAGCCAAACGCAUCCGCAAAAUGUUUGCAUUUCCUGCUUCCAUAGAUUCUACAAGCUGCUGUUGAAAGAUCAUGGAAAUCUAUAUUGCCGCUUAUUCAAUUGCAGUUACCAGGAUAUUUCGCUGUUGUACAAUAAAAAUAUAGAGCAUCAGGGUGGUUAUUGCGAUCGAAGUGGCUCACAAGAAACAAAAGGUGAAUACUGCAGACACCAUAAUUCUACCAUUUCCGGGGCAUCGCAUUCGUUCUCAUCAAUUUUUAAGAGAAAUUAUGUUUCACCGUGAUAGUUGGCAAUAUGUUUUAUAUUUGACCAUCCAUUAUGCAAUUUCAUGCAGAUCUUGCCUGGUCUGAUGCUACUAAGAUACUGCUGCUUUUGUUUUGCUUAAGUGAUAUUAUUUUUACGAAGUGCAAUUCCUCUUUCAGUUCUGAUGCAACCACAAUUGAACCCAAGUUGGUACUGCUAUAUGCUGCUCUUUUCCUCUUUCAGGGAGUUUGUGUUUGUAGAGCAUUUUGGUGAUGGAAGACAAUGAUCUACUCUUCUUUUUGUCCUCAGAAAUGUAACUCGACAAAGAUCAUUUAUUUAGAUAUUCCAUCAUGUAUAAGCUACAGUUUGGUUGCGCCUCGCGAACAUUGAAGAUUUCCCUCCAGGGAUUGCUUGCUUCCACUCAUUAAUCAUUCUAUUGGCAAGUGCCCGGAAAAUAGCAAAGAUACGCAUAUUUUUCUCAAACAGUAGACGUCGGGUCUCUGAAAUGUUGCAGUUUCAUAAAUAAUGAAGAUAAACUAAGACUUACAUCA